CGCCUGUUUAUCAAAAACAUAGCCUAAUGAGGAAAUAUUAGGUUAAUCCUGCCCAAUGAUUUUAUUUUAAUGGCCGCAGUACUUUGACUGUGCUAAGGUAGCAUAAUAAUUUGGUUUUUAAUUAAGAUCUAGAAUGAAUGGAGAAACAUGAAAAAAGCUGUCUUAUUAUAGAUUUUAUAGAAUUUUCUUAUAAGGUGAAAAUUCCUUUAAAAAUAUAUUAGACGAGAAGACCCUUAGAGUUUUUAAAAAAAAUUUUUGUUGGGGCGACAAAGUAACAAAUUUAACUUAUUUUAGGGUUUUUUACAUGCCAACUAUAAAAAGAAAGAUUAAACUACCUAAGGGAUAACAGCAUAAUUUUUUUUAAUAGAUUAUGACCUCGAUGUUGGAUUAGGGUUAAUAUUAAUCAACAAUUAAUAUUUUAGGUUCUGUUCGAACUAAUACCCCUACGUGAUCUGA
rnacentral:rRNA from 1 species